UACGUAGGCAGCAAGCGUUGUUCGGAGUUACUGGGCGUAAAGGGUGUGUAGGCGGCCUUCUAAGUUUGGUGUGAAAUCUCCCGGCUCAACUGGGAGGGUGCGCCGAAUACUGAAGGGCUAGAGUGCGGGAGAGGAGAGUGGAAUUCCUGGUGUAGCGGUGAAAUGCGUAGAUAUCAGGAGGAACACCGGUGGUGUAGAC
rnacentral:rRNA from 1 species